UACGAAGGGGACUAGCGUUGUUCGGAAUUACUGGGCGUAAAGCGCACGUAGGCGGAUUGUUAAGUUAGGGGUGAAAUCCCAGGGCUCAACCCUGGAACUGCCUUUAAUACUGGCAAUCUCGAGUCCGAGAGAGGUGAGUGGAAUUCCGAGUGUAGAGGUGAAAUUCGUAGAUAUUCGGAGGAACACCAGUGGCGAAGGCGGCUCACUGGCUCGGUACUGACGCUGAGGUGCGAAAGUGUGGGGAGCGAACAGG
rnacentral:rRNA from 1 species